rnacentral:rRNA from 1 species
UACGUAGGGGGCAAGCGUUGUUCGGAAUCAUUGGGCGUAAAGCGCGUGUAGGCGGUCCGGUAAGUCCGCUGUGAAAGUCGGGGGCUUAACCCUCGGAUGCCGGUGGAUACUGUCGGGCUUGAGUACGGAAGAGGCGAGUGGAAUUCCUGGUGUAGCGGUGAAAUGCGCAGAUAUCAGGAGGAACACCAAUUGCGAAGGCAGCUCGCUGGGACGCUACUGACGCUGAGACGCGAAAGCGUGGGGAGCAAACAGG